AAACUUCGAAAGUAUAACCCAUUCCCUGUACGAUCAUCACCUCCUGUUAAUGCUUCUUCAGCUAACAGCAAUGGGGAGAUGAACGUAACUCGAAGCAUUACUAUUAUUAGAACAAGCAGUUCCAAUUUGAGGAACCUUUCAGUGGAUCCUGGUUCAGCUCCUGAGUCACCUGGUUCAGCUCCUGAGUCGCCGGCGCCACCUAGCACUCCUGGGACGCCUCUAACACGUAUGCUAUACUAUUUCUCUGCUU
rnacentral:lncRNA from 1 species